rnacentral:rRNA from 1 species
AGUGAACGCUGGCGGUAGGCCUAACACAUGCAAGUCGAACGGCAGCACAGUAAGAGCUUGCUCUUACGGGUGGCGAGUGGCGGACGGGUGAGGAAUACAUCGGAAUCUACUUUUUCGUGGGGGAUAACGUAGGGACACUUACGCUAAUACCGCAUACGACCUACGGGUGAAAGCAGGGGAUCUUCGGCCCUUGCGCGAUUGAAUGAGCCGAUGUCGGAUUAGCUAGUUGGCGGGGUAAAGGCCCACCAAGGCGACGAUCCGUAGCUGGUCUGAGAGGAUGAUCAGCCACACUGGAACUGAGACACGGUCCAGACUCCUACGGGAGGCAGCAGUGGGGAAUAUUGGACAAUGGGCGCAAGCCUGAUCCAGCCAUACCGCGUGGGUGAAGAAGGCCUUCGGGUUGUAAAGCCCUUUUGUUGGGAAAGAAAAGCAGCAGGUUAAUACCCCGCUGUUCUGACGGUACCAAAAGAAUAAGCACCGGCUAACUUCGUG